CGUCGCCUUGAUAUUCACGCGAGCACAACUCACACGAUUACGAGUGUCCUCGUUCCUCAUUACAUAGGGUAAUUAGCAUCCAUAGAUUAGAGCAAACAACGUAUUUCCUGCAAAUAGUGACUUGUCUCAUUGCCUUUGGUAGGAAAGUAUUUUUUCUGAAAGUUUACAACCAAGCAAAUCUAUCUCAAGAUGUGUAAGUGUCUCGCAGGAAGCGUCGUUUGCUGCUGCUGUCAGUGUGCGAUGAGCGUUUUCAUCUCGCUGCUGUUCGUAGGGAUCCUACUGGCGGCGGCCGUCGCUGCCGGCAUCUACUUUGGGCUGCUCAACGUGGACGAUAGGGCACCGGAACUGUCCGAGUACAUCCACAAAACCGGUGACUCGAUAAAGGACGCCGUCAAGGAUAAGAUCAACUAGAGUGGCGGGCAGGCGGAGCAGCUAAGCGUAUGUGGGAGCACUAAUUCGCUAAAGUGCCAGCGGGAGUUGCCGAAUCUCGUGAACUGAUCUGCAUAUACUUUUAAUUUAAGCCAUCGUCUCGCAUUUGCUUUAAAGGCGCAUA